rnacentral:rRNA from 1 species
AUGGACAUUGCAAAGAGUGGCGAACGGGUGAGUGACACGUGGGAAACCUACCUCUUAGCAGGGGAUAACAUUUGGAAACAGAUGCUAAUACCGAAUAAAACUUAGUAUCGCAUGAUAUCAAGUUAAAAGGCGCUACGGCGUCACCUAGAGAUGGAUCCGCGGUGCAUUAGUUAGUUGGUAAGGUAAUGGCUUACCAAGGCAAUGAUGCAUAGCCGAGUUGAGAGACUGAUCGGCCACAAUGGGACUGAGACACGGCCCAUACUCC